rnacentral:pre_miRNA from 1 species
UGUGUACUCCCUCCGUUCGAAAUUACUUGUCGCGAAAAUGAAUGUAUCUAAAACUAAAAUACGUUUAGAUACAUCCAUUUCUGCGACAAGUAAUUCCGAACGGAGGGAGUAGUAA